UUCAAUAUUGAUUGAAAAUAAAAUCCAAGUGUGAUACAGAGGAGAUUAGCAUGUCCUUUGACAUGCUAGGAUGAAUCACACAUUUGUGAAGCGUCUCAUAUUUUU